rnacentral:rRNA from 1 species
GACGAACGCUGGCGGCGUGCUUAACACAUGCAAGUCGAACGGUAAGGCCCUUUUGGGGGUACACGAGUGGCGAACGGGUGAGUAACGCGUGAGUAACCUGCCCUUCACUCUGGGAUAACAGUUGGAAACGGCUGCUAAUACCGGAUAUUCAGAUGCUGUCGCAUGGUGGUGUUUGGAAAGCUUUUGUGGUGGAGGAUGGACUCGCGUCCUAUCAGCUUGUUGGUGGGGUGAUGGCCUACCAAGGCGUCGACGGGUAGCCGGCCUGAGAGGGCGACCGGCCACAUUGGGACUGAGAUACGGCCCAAACUCCUACGGGAGGCAGCAGUGGGGAAUAUUGCACAAUGGGCGGAAGCCUGAUGCAGCAACGCCGCGUGCGGGAUGACGGCCUUCGGGUUGUAAACCGCUUUCAGCAGGGACGAAGCUUUGGUGACGGUACCUGCAGAAGAAGCACCGGCUGACUACGUG